rnacentral:snRNA from 1 species
GUGCUCACUUUGGCAGCACACAUACUGAAGGUGGAAUGAUACAGAGAAGAUUAACAUGGCCCCUGUGCAAGGAUGACAUGCAAAUUUGUGGGAAAAAAAAAGAAAAAUAUU